rnacentral:rRNA from 1 species
CAGUCGCCGCGGUAAUACAGAGGGUGCAAGCGUUAAUCGGAUUUACUGGGCGUAAAGCGUGCGUAGGUGGCUGUUUAAGUCGGAUGUGAAAGCCCUGGGCUUAACCUGGGAACUGCGUUCGAUAUUGGAUAGCCAGAGAUCGGUAGAGGGCAGCGGAAUUCCGGGUGUAGCGGUGAAAUGCGUAGAUAUCCGGAGGAACACCGAUGGCGAAGGCAACUGCCUGGGCCUGAUCUGACACUGAGGCACGAAAGCGUGGGUAGCAAACAGGAUUAGAUACCCCAGUAGUCCCUGUCUCUUAUAC